UACGAAGGGGCUAGCGUUGCUCGGAAUCACUGGGCGUAAAGGGUGCGUAGGCGGGUCUUUAAGUCAGGGGUGAAAUCCUGGAGCUCAACUCCAGAACUGCCUUUGAUACUGAAGAUCUUGAGUACGGGAGAGGUGAGUGGAACUGCGAGUGUAGAGGUGAAAUUCGUAGAUAUUCGCAAGAACACCAGUGGCGAAGGCGGCUCACUGGCCCGUUACUGACGCUGAGGCACGAAAGCGUGGGGAGCAA
rnacentral:rRNA from 1 species